CCUACGGGAGGCUGCAGUGAGGAAUAUUGGUCAAUGGACGAGAGUCUGAACCAGCCAAGUAGCGUGAAGGAUGACUGCCCUAUGGGUUGUAAACUUCUUUUAUAAAGGAAUAAAACGAGGCACGUGUGCCUUUUUGCAUGUACUUUAUGAAUAAGGCUCGGCUAACUCCGUGCCAGCAGCCGCGGUAAUACGGAGGAUCCGAGCGUUAUCCGGAUUUAUUGGGUUUAAAGGGAGCGUAGAUGGGUUGUUAAGUCAGUUGUGAAAGUUUGCGGCUCAACCGUAAAAUUGCAAUUGAUACUGGCAGUCGUGAGUACAGUUGAGGUAGGCGGAAUUCGUGGUGUAGCGGUGAAAUGCUUAGAUAUCACGAAGAACCCCGAUUGCGAAGGCAGCUUACUAAACUGUGACUGACAUUGAUGCUCGAAAGUGUGGGUAUCAAACAGGAUUAGAUACCCGAGUAGUC
rnacentral:rRNA from 1 species